GACGAACGCUGGCGGCGUGCCUAAUACAUGCAAGUAGAACGCACAGUUUAUACCGUAGCUUGCUACACCAUAGACUGUGAGUUGCGAACGGGUGAGUAACGCGUAGGUAACCUGCCUGGUAGCGGGGGAUAACUAUUGGAAACGAUAGCUAAUACCGCAUAAUAUUAAUUAUUGCAUGAUAAUUAAUUGAAAGGUGCAAUUGCACCACUACCAGAUGGACCUGCGUUGUAUUAGCUAGUAGGUGAGGUAACGGCUCACCUAGGCGACGAUACAUAGCCGACCUGAGAGGGUGAUCGGCCACACUGGGACUGAGACACGGCCCAGACUCCUACGGGAGGCAGCAGUAGGGAAUCUUCGGCAAUAGACGAAAGUCUGACCGAGCAACGCCGCGUGAGUGAAGAAGGUUGUCGGAUCGUAAAGCUCUGUUGUAAGAGAAGAACGGGUGUGAGAGUGGAAAGUUCACACUGUGACGGUAUCUGACCAGAAAGGGACGGCUAACUACGUG
rnacentral:rRNA from 1 species